GAUGAACGCUGGCGGCGUGCCUAAUACAUGCAAGUCGAGCGAACAGACGAGGAGCUUGCUCCUCUGACGUUAGCGGCGGACGGGUGAGUAACACGUGGAUAACCUACCUAUAAGACUGGGAUAACGUCGGGAAACCGGAGCUAAUACCGGAUAAUAUAUUGAACCGCAUGGAUCAAUAGUGAAAGACGGAUUUGCUGACACUUGUAGGUGGAUCCGCGCCGCAUUAGCUAGUUGGUAAGGUAACGGCUUACCAAGGCAACGAUGCGUAGCCGACCUGAGAGGGUGAUCGGCCACACUGGAACUGAGACACGGUCCAGACUCCUACGGGAGGCAGCAGUAGGGAAUCUUCCGCAAUGGGCGAAAGCCUGACGGAGCCACGCCGCGUGAGUGAUGAAGGUCUUCGGAUCGUAAAGCUCUGUUAUUAGGGAAGAACAAAUGUGUAAGUAACUAUGCACGUCUUGACGGUACCUAAUCAGAAAGCCACGGCUAACUACGUG
rnacentral:rRNA from 1 species